rnacentral:rRNA from 1 species
AAUUUUGGACAAUGGGCGCAAGCCUGAUCCAGCCAUGCCGCGUGUCUGAAGAAGGCCUUCGGGUUGUAAAGGACUUUUGUCAGGGAAGAAAAGGCUGUUGCUAAUACCAGCGGCCGAUGACGGUACCUGAAGAAUAAGCACCGGCUAACUACGUGCCAGCAGCCGCGGUAAUACGUAGGGUGCGAGCGUUAAUCGGAAUUACUGGGCGUAAAGCGGGCGCAGACGGUUACUUAAGCAGGAUGUGAAAUCCCCGGGCUCAACCCGGGAACUGCGUUCUGAACUGGGUGACUAGAGUGUGUCAGAGGGAGGUAGAAUUCCACGUGUAGCAGUGAAAUGCGUAGAGAUGUGGAGGAAUACCGAUGGCGAAGGCAGCCUCCUGGGACAACACUGACGUUCAUGCCCGAAAGCGUGGGUAGCAAACAGGAUUAGAUACCCUGGUAGUCCACGCCCUAAACGAUGUCAAUUAGCUGUUGGGCAACUUGAUUGCUUAGUAGCGUAGCUAACGCGUGAAAUUGACCGCCUGGGGAGUACGGUCGCAAGAUUAAAACUCAAAGGAAUUGACGGGGACCCGCACAAGCGGUGGAUGAUGUGGAUUAAUUCGAUGCAACGCGAAGAACCUUACCUGGUCUUGACAUGUACGGAAUCCUCUGGAGACGGAGGAGUGCCUUCGGGAGCCGUAACACAGGUGCUGCAUGGCUGUCGUCAGCUCGUGUCGUGAGAUGUUGGGUUAAGUCCCGCAACGAGCGCAACCCUUGUCAUUAGUUGCCAUCAUUCAGUUGGGUACUCUAAUGAGACUGCCGGUGACAAGCCGGAGGAAGGUGGGGAUGACGUCAAGUCCUCAUGGCCCUUAUGACCAGGGCUUCACACGUCAUACAAUGGUCGGUACAGAGGGUAGCCAAGCCGCGAGGCGGAGCCAAUCUCACAAAACCGAUCGUAGUCCGGAUUGCACUCUGCAACUCGAGUGCAUGAAGUCGGAAUCGCUAGUAAUCGCAGGUCAGCAUACUGCGGUGAAUACGUUCCCGGG